rnacentral:rRNA from 1 species
GACGUAGGGGGCCAGCGUUGUUCGGAAUUACUGGGUGUAAAGGGUUCGUAGGCGGUGUGGCAAGUCGGGAGUGAAAUCUCUGGGCUCAACUCAGAGACUGCUUCCGAAACUGCUGUGCUGGAGUGUGGGAGAGGCGCGUGGAAUUGCAGGUGUAGCGGUGAAAUGCGUAGAUAUCUGCAGGAACACCCGUGGCGAAAGCGGCGCGCUGGACCACUACUGACGCUGAGGAACGAAAGCUAGGGGAGCAAACGGG